GCCAGCAGCCAUAUCACCCUGCGACUCACUCCUGGCAACCCACUGAAGCUAAGCAGGUGUGAGCCUGCUCAGUACCUGGAUGGGAGACCUCCUGGGAAAAACUAAGGUUGCUGCUGGAA
rnacentral:rRNA from 1 species